UACGAAGGGGGCUAGCGUUGUUCGGAAUUACUGGGCGUAAAGGGCGCGUAGGCGGUGUGUCAAGUCAGGCGUGAAAGCCCCGGGCUCAACCUGGGAACAGCGCUUGAGACUGGCACGCUCGAGUUCGGGAGAGGAUGGUGGAAUUCCCAGUGUAGAGGUGAAAUUCGUAGAUAUUGGGAAGAACACCGAUGGCGAAGGCAGCCAUCUGGACCGACACUGACGCUGAGGCGCGAAGGCGUGGGAAGCAAACAGG
rnacentral:rRNA from 1 species